rnacentral:misc_RNA from 1 species
UCCGGCUUAACGCCGGCAGUUUCCUUAGAGUUCCCAGCAUAACCUGUUGGUAACUAAGGAUGAGGGUUGCGCUCGUUGCGGGACUUAACCCAACAUCUCACGACACGAGCUGACGACAGCCAUGCAACACCUGUUUACACCCAACUAAAUGAGGAAAUCAUCUCUGAUAACCGCAGUGUAAAUGUCAAGGCCUGGUAAGGUUUUUCGCGUUGCAUCGAAUUGAACCACAUGCUCCACCGCUUGUGCGGGUCCCCGUCAAUUCCUUUGAGUUUUAAUCUUGCGACCGUACUCCCCAGGCGGGAUGCUUAACGCGUUAACUACAACACCGAGCCAUAAAGACCCGACGUCUAGCAUCCAUCGUUUACGGCGUGGACUAC